UACGUAGGGUGCAAGCGUUAAUCGGAAUUACUGGGCGUAAAGCGUGCGCAGGCGGUUAUGUAAGACAGAUGUGAAAUCCCCGGGCUUAACCUGGGAAUUGCAUUUGUGACUGCACGGCUAGAGUGUGUCAGAGGGGGGUAGAAUUCCACGUGUAGCAGUGAAAUGCGUAGAUAUGUGGAGGAAUACCGAUGGCGAAGGCAGCCCCCUGGGAUAACACUGACGCUCAUGCACGAAAGCGUGGGGAGCAAACAGG
rnacentral:rRNA from 1 species